rnacentral:rRNA from 1 species
ACGCUGGCGGCAUGCUUUACACAUGCAAGUCGGACGGCAGCACAGAGAAGCUUGCUUCUUGGGUGGCGAGUGGCGAACGGGUGAGUAAUAUAUCGGAACGUACUGAGUAAUGGGGGAUAACUAAUCGAAAGAUUAGCUAAUACCGCAUAUUCUCUGAGGAGGAAAGCAGGGGACCUUCGGGCCUUGCGUUAUUCGAGCGGCCGAUAUCUGAUUAGCUAGUUGGUGGGGUAAAGGCCUACCAAGGCGACGAUCAGUAGCGGGUCUGAGAGGAUGAUCCGCCACACUGGGACUGAGACACGGCCCAGACUCCUACGGGAGGCAGCAGUGGGGAAUUUUGGACAAUGGGCGCAAGCCUGAUCCAGCCAUGCCGCGUGUCUGAAGAAGGCCUUCGGGUUGUAAAGGACUUUUGUCAGGGAAGAAAAGGCUGUUGCUAAUACCGACAGCUGAUGACGGUACCUGAAGAAUAAGCACCGGCUAACUACGUGCCAGCAGCCGCGGUAAUACGUAGGGUGCGAGCGUUAAUCGGAAUUACUGGGCGUAAAGCGAGCGCAGACGGUUACUUAAGCAGGAUGUGAAAUCCCCGGGCUCAACCUGGGAACUGCGUUCUGAACUGGGUGACUAGAGUGUGUCAGAGGGAGGUAGAAUUCCACGUGUAGCAGUGAAAUGCGUAGAGAUGUGGAGGAAUACCGAUGGCGAAGGCAGCCUCCUGGGAUAACACUGACGUUCAUGCUCGAAAGCGUGGGUAGCAAACAGGAUUAGAUACCCUGGUAGUCCACGCCCUAAACGAUGUCAAUUAGCUGUUGGGCAACUUGAUUGCUUAGUAGCGUAGCUAACGCGUGAAAUUGACCGCCUGGGGAGUACGGUCGCAAGAUUAAAACUCAAAGGAAUUGACGGGGACCCGCACAAGCGG